UGCAUGGUUGUCGUCAGCUCGGUGUCGUGAGAUGUUGGGUUAAGUCCCGGCAACGAGCGCAACCCUCGACCUUAGUUGCCAGCAUUCAGUUGGGCACUCUAAGGUGACUGCCGGCUAAAAGUCGGAGGAAGGUGGGGAUGACGUCAAAUCAUCAUGCCCCUUAUGACCUGGGCUACACACGUGCUACAAUGGGCGGUACAAAGGGUCGCGAACCCGCGAGGGGGAGCCAAUCCCAAAAAGCCGCUCUCAGUUCGGAUUGCAGGCUGCAACUCGCCUGCAUGAAGCCGGAAUCGCUAGUAAUCGCGGAUCAGCAUGCCGCGGUCGAAUACGUUCCCGGGCCUU
rnacentral:rRNA from 1 species